rnacentral:rRNA from 1 species
GACGAGCGCUGGCGGCGUGCUUAACACAUGCAAGUCGAGCGAUGAAGUUCCUUCGGGAACGGAUUAGCGGCGGACGGGUGAGUAACACGUGGGUAACCUGCCUCAUAGAGGGGAAUAGCCUUCCGAAAGGAAGAUUAAUACCGCAUAAGAUUGUAGUACCGCAUGGUACAGCAAUUAAAGGAGCAAUCCGCUAUGAGAUGGACCCGCGUCGCAUUAGCUAGUUGGUGAGGUAACGGCUCACCAAGGCGACGAUGCGUAGCCGACCUGAGAGGGCGAUCGGCCACAUUGGGACAGAGACACGGCCCAGACUCCUACGGGAGGCAGCAGUGGGGAAUAUUGCACAAUGGGGGAAACCCUGAUGCAGCAACGCCGCGUGAGUGGUGACGGUCUUCGGAUUGUAAAACUCUGUCUUCAGGGACGAUAAUGACGGUACCUGAGGAGGAAGCCACGGCUAACUACGUGCCAGCAGCCGCCGUAA